rnacentral:rRNA from 1 species
GUGGGGAAUAUUGGACAAUGGGCGAAAGCCUGAUCCAGCAAUGCCGCGUGCAGGAAGAAGGCCUUCGGGUUGUAAACUGCUUUUGUACGGAACGAAACGGUCCGGGUUAAUACCCUGGGCUAAUGACGGUACCGUAAGAAUAAGCACCGGCUAACUACGUGUCAGCAGCCGCGGUAAUACGUAGGGUGCAAGCGUUAAUCGGAAUUACUGGGCGUAAAGCGUGCGCAGGCGGUUUUGUAAGACAGGCGUGAAAUCCCCGGGCUCAACCUGGGAAUUGCGCUUGUGACUGCAAGGCUGGAGUGCGGCAGAGGGGGAUGGAAUUCCGCGUGUAGCAGUGAAAUGCGUAGAUAUGCGGAGGAACACCGAUGGCGAAGGCAAUCCCCUGGGCCUGCACUGACGCUCAUGCACGAAAGCGUGGGGAGCAAACAGGAUUAGAUACCCUAGUAGUCC